GCAAAAGUGAUAUUUUUCACUAGUGAAAAAUAUGAUAUUUUAUCACUUUUAUAGAAUGAAUAAUUUUGAUAUUUCACUGGUAAAAAUGUAAUGAUAUAACCUACUACUGCAUUGGGAACAUUCCAGAUGUGCGUAUCAUGUAAUUAAGCUGAACUGAGUAUCAAAAUUAAACAUUGACUUGGCGGUGUUCACAUAGACUAAAAUGCCUGAUAAUAGGCUUUUCCACCACCUAAAUAUCUCAGUCAGUCAAAAGGGCACUGAAAUUCUGAGUGCAAUCAACUGUGGUUAUCUGAUGAUGGGGUUGAACAGGUCAAAUAGGGACAAAUAUGUGCAUGAUGGGAGAAAAAUCUGGAAAUGAUGGGAGAAAAUGCCAUCUCAUACAAUGUACAUGCAAUUUAUUCUAUCAUCGCCUGGGCUGGUGGACAUGAGCCUAUGCUGUGCUGCGGCAUCUUGUCACCAUUCGUCGUCAACUUUUCAUUCAAACAACUUCGUCUCAAUAACCAAGAGGCCCAGAGAUCUGUCAUUGGACUUGUUGUUGCCAGUAUAUAAAUAAAUGUUUCUAGAUGAUGUCUACCAUAAUAAUGCUCACUUUUAAUGAUAUGGUCACACCUUGUGAGCUUCGAUCCUAAACCAAGCACAUUUUCUUACUUAAUACAGAUAUUUCUUGGCUGUAUUAAUAUUGUGAACAUUGUUUUUUUUAACAUACACACAUUCCUGAUUUUUUUUUCUGUUCCUUUGCCAUGUUGAGACCUAACACUUUGUCAUUAGAUAGAUAUCACUUCAUUUUGGGCUGUGAUCAUUAAAAGUUACUGAUGCUAUAGAAAAUGUUGAAUCACCAAAAUUAUAUACCUUUGAUUUUAAAAAAGAAAAUAUGCUAUGAUUGUUGAUCAUUAGUUAUUUAUUUAUACCUAGACAUUAUUAUUGUUACAAGGCCAGAGUAAUGAUGUAGAUAUUUUUUCCCUAACCAGUAAAAAAAACAUUUUUGUAUUAGUACUUCAGAUAGGGUAAUAAUUUAUGCUGAGGCUCCAGUGAGCGUCGGAGAAUAGUAUCAAGUGACAUUGUAGUUUGGUUUGUAAAUUGUCUAUAUACCAUUAAUCAUUUUAUAUUUUUCUGUGCUCAAUAUCACAGCAUUUUUUUAAAAAUUUGUAGCGUUUUGUAUAUUGUGCUGAUGUAUAUUUUGUAUGCAUAAAACAGUAGGCGUAAUGAUUGUCUAUUUGAAAAUACUUACAGACACAUGUAACUUGUACAGGAUUUAAUGUGUUAUACAAUCACUUUGAUAAGAAGUAUACAUUCCAAUAGUGCUGUUUUUAUACAAUUUUAUAAAGAGCUGCUGAUUUGUCUUCCUGCCUAGAGAUAUAGUAUAUAUCCAGCUGCCUUUAUGAAAUAAUAGUAACAUUCACUUUAUCAAUGGAUUGUUUUUGUCAAUUUUGUAAAUCACCUUUCAACAAUAAUUUGUCCAAUUGCUGACUCAAUCAAAAAGAUAGCUUAAGAAAUAUAUUUAUAUUUCUAAUAGUUAAAACCAGACAGUCAAGGAAUGGAUCAAAGCGUUUAUGCCAAAGGAAUGUCAUGUCUCAGAAUCUUUAGUGCCAUUUUAGUUGAUGGUUGGUAUAGUGACUUUCAAUAAAUCCAUACUUAUAUCAUUUACAAUGUAUACAAUCACAAUUCUACUACCUGGCCUGCCAUGUCAUACAAUUACUGUAUAUCUGAUACAUAUGGUAUACAUCAUCUAUUAUUACAUGUGUUACAAUCUUCUAUUUCUAUUAUCAGAACGUAGGUCAACAAUCUUCUGCAACAGAUAUUUCUAUUAUUAGAAUGUAGGUCAACAAUCUUCAGCAAGUUAUUUCUGUUAUUAGAAUGUAGGUCAACAAUCUUCUGCAACAGUUAUUUCUAUUAUUAGAAUGUAGGUCAACAAUCUUCAGCAAGUUAUUUCUGUUAUUAGAAUAUAGGUCAACAAUCUUCUGCAACAGUUAUUUCAAUUUUUAGAAUGUGGGUCAGCAAUCUUAUUAUUAGAAUGUGGGUCAACAAUCUUCUGCAGGUUAUUUCUAUUAUGAGAAUGUAGGUCAACAAUCUUCAGCAAGUUAUUUCUGUUAUUAGAAUGUAGGUCAAUAAUCUUCUGCAAGUUAUUUCUAUUAUUAGAAUGUAGGCCAACAAUCUUCUGCAUGCUAUUUCUAUUAUUAGAAUGUAGGUCAACAAUCUUCUCAAAGUUAUUUCUAUUAUUAGAAUAUUGAAGGUUAACACUCUUCUACAACAGUUAUUUCUAUUAUUAGAAUGUAGGUCACAUGGUUAUUUAUCCGUCACUGAUUUUGCAUUAAUAUUGUCAAUGAAUAGAAAUUCCUAAAACAGUUUCCUAGUUAUAGUAUUAUUUUUGAGAUUGUUUUUACUGGAAGAGUUUUCCGAAAAUCAUAUCUAAAAUGUUGACUUAAUAGGAUAGCCAACUUCAUCAUCAUAUGAUCUCUAAUCUGAAAUCUGAGAUAGAUCAGUUGGUAAGAGCAUCUGCCUACAUCAUCUCGGAUGAAGAUUUGAGGUGUGUGGUACGAUGCUCCCUGCCCAAAGUGGUUGUACCGUGUUCUCGGAAAGCUGAGAAUUAGACUGAUCUGUGCUGUUGUGGUUGUGUCCUCCGACAUUAAACACAUAAAGCCUUAUCUGUAAUUAGUUCCUAUUGUUCUCUUUUGUUCCCUUCCUCAAUGUUUAAAAAGGAUAUGUUAUUCAGUGAGGUAGCCGCCAUCUACUACAAGGAAACCUCACUAUUAGAGAAUAACCAUGGCUGUUCAUGAGGUGCUUAACCCAACAAGCAAUACAACUAAUUGAUUCCAUAUAUAGUCCAGUGAAUACAUUACAUAUCAACAGUUUAGCUGGAGGACACAUGUAAAAUCAAAUGAUGCAUGCUAUAAUUAUGUAUCAGGUAUAUAGUAAAUAUCACCUGUCAUGCUUCUCAUUCAAGCAAUCAAUAAUUUCCAUAUGUAUAAUAUGCAUUGUCAAAAAACUGCAGUGAUGAAAGAUCUUGUCAUUACCAUAUCUCAAAAUCAAGAAUGUUUCAAUUUGUCACCUAUAGUUAAAACCUCUCUCAAUCGAUUUUAUUAUAUUAACAAUCGUACAGUCUGUUAAUCUAAACAAUAUUAAGUUCCUUAAACUGAUUUUUUUAUUUUGUUCAGAAGUAAUGGAAUUUCUGGAGAUUACUGCAUUAAUCACAAUUUGAGCAGGCCAUUAUAUAGCCAGUGUAGAUAUUUAGCCAGUGUGAUCACCUUGAACAUUUUCCAGCAUCUAAUGAUAUUUGGAGUUCUGCUUUAUAUAGCAAAUUAAGUACCUAAGGAAUGUUUUUUCUUCUAGAUGCCUUUCUGGUAUGUAAACAAAUGUAUACCUGGUAAUCAUCUGUUCAGUUUUCUACAAAUAGAUUGUCGUCUAUGAAUGAUGAAUCUGGCGUAAAUUAUACACUUGUAAAAGAUCUAUUUGUGUGUCUGCAAGAUAUCUUGAAAAUGAAAUGGAUUGAGUGUACAUGCUAUGACCACAUAUAUACUAUAUAUAGCACACUUGGUGAUUACCGUAAUUUACUAUAUGAGCUUCCAUGUCCAACAUGACCGACAUCCCAGCUAACACGUCCACAUUGCACUUCAUAGUGCUGCUUAUUUUUAUACAAUUUAAAAUGUAUUUCUUAUAAAAGUGUAUGUUGUGCUGUCAUUUGUAGAGUUGUACCAUAAUAUACAUGUAUAUAGUGUAAUAUAUACGUAUAAACGGUGUUAUAUACAUGUACAUGUAUACCGUGUAUGUUUUACAUCCCGAUUCACCUGCAAUAAUACUUUUAGUUAUAGGUUCAUUACAUCAUUGUAAAAAAUAUUAUGAUCCAUGUGAUGCCAAAAUGCACAGUUACUUGAUAGGUGCUUCCACAUUUGUGAACAAAAUGAUGAAGACAAAUUUUUUUGUUUAUCUUAAGUCAAAAUGGCCAGGAACAAAUGAGUUAUGUUUAGAAAAUGUAAAUUUUUUUUUUAUUAUUAUUAUUUUGUAAAUUGUACUGGAAGGUGAGAAUUUAUGGAAAGAGGCAAGCAGAAACAAAGAUCAAACUGAUAGUGUUAUAUAUUAUUAUAUUACAACUUAAUUAUUUGAUAUGACACGAUUGAUUUAGAUUUGUUUUUUAUUAAUGAUGCAAACACUUUUGUAAUGAUUGUGAAAUCGUUUUAUAAAUGACAAUUUUCCGAGGUUUUCAGAGAUUUUAUCUGCUGAUUUUUGGGAGGUCAGGUUUUAUUUACUGAACAUGAUGUUCUGGUAUUUUCAUUAUGAGAAUAUGUGAGUUAAAAACAGUGUCCAAGAGGAGGUAAAAACCUUCAAAAUGUGUUAUACUAGAGAUGUGUAAUGAGUGCAUGCAGGUGUUACAUUAUUGUAUCACACAGACCUAACUUGUAGGUAUAACAUGUGAUCGGUCAUCUGUCCUCAUUACUUGUAGGUAUAACAUGUGAUCGGUCAUCUGUCCUCAUUAACUUGUAGGUAUAACAUGUGAUCGGUCAUCUGUCCUCAUUAACUUGUAGGUAUAACAUGUGAACGGUCAUCUGUCCUCAUUAACUUGUAGGUAUAACAUGUGAUCGGUCAUCUGUCCUCAUUAACUUGUAGGUGUAACAUGUGAUCGGUCAUCUGUCCUCAGUAACUUGUAGGUAUAACAUGUGAUCGGUCAUCUGUCCUCAGUAACCUGUAGGUAAAACAUGUGAUCGGUCAUCUGUCCUCAGUAACUUGUAGGUACAUACAUGUAUAACAUGUGAUCGGUCAUCUGUCCUGUAGGUAUAACAUGUGAUCGGUCAUCUGUUCUCAGUAACUUGUAGGUAUAACAUGUGAUCGGUCAUCUGUCCUCAUUAACUUGUAGGUAUAACAUGUGAUCGGUCAUCUGUCCUCAUUACUUGUAGGUAUAACAUGUGAUCGGUCAUCUGUCCUGUAGGUAUAACUUGUGAUCGGUCAUCUGUCCUCAGUAACUUGUAGGUAUAACAUGUGAUCGGUCAUCUGUCCUCAGUAACCUGUAGGUAUAACAUGUGAUCGGUCAUCUGUCCUCAGUAACUUGUAGGUACAUACAUGUAUAACAUGUGAUCGGUCAUCUGUCCUCAGUAACUUGUAGGUAUAACAUGUGAUCGGUCAUCUGUCCUCAAUAACUUGUAGGUAUAACAUGUGAUCGGUCAUCUGUCCUCAUUAACUUGUAGGUAUAACAUGUGAUCGGUCAUCUGUCCUCAUUAACUUGUAGGUAUAACAUGUGAUCGGUCAUCUGUCCUCAUUACUUGUAGGUAUAACAUGUGAUCGGUCAUCUGUCCUCAGUAACCUGUAGGUAUAACAUGUGAUCGGUCAUCUGUCCUCAUUAACUUGUAGGUAUAACAUGUGAUCGGUCAUCUGUCCUGUAGGUAUAACAUGUGAUCGGUCAUCUGUUCUGUAGGUAUAACAUGUGAUCGGUCAUCUGUCCUGUAGGUAUAACAUGUGAUCGGUCAUCUGUCCUCAGUAACUUGUAGGUAUAACAUGUGAUCGGUCAUCUGUCCUGUAGGUAUAACAUGUGAUCGGUCAUCUGUCCUCAGUAACUUGUAGGUAUAACAUGUGAUCGGUCAUCUGUCCUCAGUAACUUGUAGGUAUAACAUGUGAUCGGCCAUCUGUCUUAAGUAACUUGUAGUGUCUUGUGUACUUAGACUUUCCAUUUUCCAUUCCUGUAUUAGAUCUAUUUUUGAUGAAUUAUAACGUUAUACCCUUAGUGUAGUAACUUACUGUCCAUUCCUAAGUUUGUCAGUUCUGUUGAUGUGAGAUAGGAUACAAGAUUUUAUUUACAGAACAAUGUUCAUAUGAAUGGUGUUUUAUGAAUGUGUGUGAUUUUAUCUGCUUCACAAACUCUUAUUUCAUAAUUAAAGCUUAAAUUUGUAAGAAUGCAUGGUCAAUAAUAGAAAAUGCUGAAUUGUCCUUAUAUACUGUAUAUACAUAAAAAACAUGUAUAUAGAUAGAUAUAUUUAUGAGGCGAUAUAUACUUACAUGACACUGAUUUCUAUAUAUAUGUAUUACUAACAUGAAGAGAUUUUACAGCUGUGUGCAUCACCUUGUAUGGUCCUAGUGCUCUGUAGUAAGCACAGCCUGUACAUGUCAGUGAUUUGAUAUGGUGUAUCCAUAGUAACAAGGCCUUGUAGGAUACAUAUUUUAGACCCAUAUAAAUUGUUUCUGUUUACCUAUGUUAAGUUUCUAAUUAAACCAUGAUAAAACAAUAUGUAAAUUCAAUACAGUAAAAUAAUUAUUAUACAAAA